AGCGCGGUCUGAACCAGGCUCCCUGCUUUGCCUAAUUCUUUCGUUUCUGCUUUGGAGUUCAACUUUGCAGUGCCUUGUUGUGGUUGGAACAUGAGUAUACACAGGAAUGGGGCUUAUUAUGGUUGGAAAUGAUCCUUCUCCAACCAGCUUAUUAAAAACACAGCUCCUUCUCUCCUGGCUGGAGUGGUCUAGGCGUGGUGCUGCCCCCCUCAGAGCAAGGGAUGAGAUGAUGAUUCACUUCGGCGCUUUUCCAACGUCUAAUUCAAUGAAUUCGGUUUGCUUCAGAGCCCCACGUCUGACAUCACCGGGAGGAUCUGCCGUGUCAGAAAUACUGCGGAUGACUCUGUGAACAGCUGCAGCCUUUGUGCUGGGCUCAUCGCUCCGUGUGGGUAGCUGUCGUGUCCACUGAGUCAUUCCCCACCCCACCCCAUCCACUCGGCUCUUCGGCAUUCCUGGCCCUGCAUCGUGCGAUGUAUCUUUAGAAGAGGCCACAUGCAUCUUAGUUAACAACAGAAGUAGUCAUGUACAGAUGUGAGAGUUGGACCAUAAAGAAGGCUGAGCACUGAAGAACUGA